AACGAACGCUGGCGGCAGGCCUAACACAUGCAAGUCGAACGCUGACUUCGGUCAGAGUGACGCACGGGUGAGUAACACGUGGGAACCUACCCUUCGGUGCGGAACAACCCAGGGAAACUUGGGCUAAUACCGCAUACGACCUCGGUGAAGAUUAUCGCCGAGGGAAGGGCCCGCGUCCGAUUAGGUAGUUGGUGAGGUAACGGCUCACCAAGCCUUCGAUCGGUACCUGGUCUGAGAGGAUGAUCAGGCACACUGGGACUGAGACACGGCCCAGACUCCUACGGGAGGCAGCAGUGGGGAAUAUUGGACAAUGGGCGCAAGCCUGAUCCAGCCAUGCCGCGUGAGUGAUGAAGGCC
rnacentral:rRNA from 1 species